GUCUGUCUUGCAGAGGACACUAGGACGAUCAAGGCCAAUAUCCUAGCUGAUGAGCUCGUAGUCUGAUAGAGGAGGCUGACCUGUAAGCAAAUGAUUGGAGAAAAAAUAUGUUGAGAGGCAUGAAUCCAGGGAUGUGGGAGCAGAGAGGGUGGAAGAAGGCAGGAAAGACUUCCCAGAGGAGGGACAUUUGAGCAGGUCCUUUAAGGCUGGCUGGAGGCUUAUAGAAGCGACAGUGACUGAUCCCAUUGGUGGAGGAGGAACAGGAUAGUCUGCCAUUGGCUGCAGUCUUGCAGCAAAGAGACCUAGACUUGUGUCUCCUGGCCUGGGUAGGUUUGUUGGGUAGGUUUUUUAACCCUGAGAUCCAACAGGCUCAGCUUGGGAAUUUCUGGCUUUAGGUUGAGAGAAGGGCUGCUGGGCAGAGCAGAGGCCCACUUGUCCUCCCCAUUGGGAAACUUCCAGGUCCUGAGCUCUCCAGGGAGAUGCCACAGCAGGUCCAGGUCCAGGGCUCUUUCCUGUCUUCUACCACCCUCUCUGCUCCCACAGCCCUGGAUUCAUGCCUCUCAACAUAUGAUUUUUUUUCUCCAAUCAUUUGCUUACAGGUCAGCCUCCUCUAUCAGAAUAUGAGCUCAUCAGCUAGGAUAUCGGCCUUGAUCAUCCUGGUGUCCUCUGCAAGGAGACUUGUGUCUCCCGGCCAGGGUCUGGAAGGCAUGCCUCACCAAACUGAAGUUGAAGCCAAAACCUGGAGGAAGGAUAGAGGGAAGACAGAGGCUGGGUGCAGUGGCUCACACCUGUAAUCCCAGCACUUUGGGAGGCCAUGGUGGGUGGAUCACGAGGUCAGGAGUUCAAGGCCAGCCUGGCUGACAGGGUGACCCCCAUCUCUACUAAAGAUACAAAAAAUUAGCCAGGCAUGGUGGCAUGGGCCUGUAAUCCCAGCUACUCGGGAGGCUGAGGCAGGAGAAUUGCUUGAACCUGGGAGGCGGAGGUUGCAGUGAGCCGAGAUCACACUGUUGCACUUCAGCCUGGGUGACAGGGCGAGAC
rnacentral:lncRNA from 1 species